rnacentral:rRNA from 1 species
UACGUAGGGGGCAAGCGUUGUCCGGAUUUAUUGGGCGUAAAGAGCGUGUAGGCGGUUUGGUAGGUCCGCUGUGAAAACUCGAGGCUCAACCUCGAGACGCCGGUGGAAACCAUCAGGCUAGAGUCCGGAAGAGGAGAGUGGAAUUCCUGGUGUAGCGGUGAAAUGCGCAGAUAUCAGGAGGAACACCGAUGGCGAAGGCAGCUCGCUGGGACGGUACUGACGCUGAGACGCGAAAGCGUGGGGAGCAAACAGG